CCUACAUACAUAAAAGUGCGAAAGGUCUUCCAGGACUUAUAUCGUGGUUUCCCCAUCAUCAUUAUCUUCCCCUUCCAUUCUUUCAUUACUUCAAUCAACAAUAAGCUCAAACAUGUCAUCAUUCCACUCCACAAUACCAUACCUCCAUAAUCUGAUUAAAUCCUAACUCAAAAGUUCAUCUGCAUGCACGGCCAUGUAACCAUUUGUUUUCUAUUUCUAUAAAUUACGUUUUUUAAUUUUUGGUUCUCUUGAAUUAAUCAUCAUUUUUCUUAAAUUUUUAAUUGAUUAUCGUGUUUCGUUUUAGGUUUACAUAAAUGAGCCUAGCCAUGGUAUUAAUUUUGUUUAAAGAUAGUUUCAAGAUCAUGAUGAAUUCUAGCUUCUAAGAUAAUUUAUAGGAAACUAUACUAUUUGAGAUUAUUUCUCUUCUAUAAAAAAUAUUUGGUUUUUUAAUUUGUUGUAAAAUCUAAGUUAGAGGCGUUUGAGGAACGGCGAGAAAUGCCUGUAGAUUUGACACUUGCACCUUCAUCUAUUCUCUUUAAUGUGAAAUUAAAGGGAUACAAAAGGGCAAAACUCAAGAAUAGUGAAUACUGGACGGGAUUAGGAGAAAAGGGCAGACGGUGGAGUUUCUGUUGGUUUUGGAUGGACUCAAAGAUGGAGAUUUGUUUUGGGAUGACGUUGUGCAGAUAAGAUUCAUCUAUGGAGAAAGCUAAUGGGCCGAAGUUGGGAUUAGGCUUUGUCUGAGUAGAGUCACCCAUCGGAGAAAAAUGGCAGCUGCACGAAGGCUGCUCUCCGCGACGCUAUACAGAGUCCUAUCAUGGACCGAAGUUUGCUUCAUCAAAACUGUCAACCAAUGUACGGCCUUAACCUAGUGCUGAGGAGCACUUAUGUUCGCCCACUGUACAAGCAAAUAUGUAUGCACACACCACAUUCCAUUGGCACUUUGAGCUUGACAAAAUGGCAAUUUCUCUUCUACCGUCCCAUCCUCUUUCCCUCCAAACCCAGAAUUCCUUUCUUCAAACUAACUUCAAAACCCAUUUGACCCAUUGAAACUAGGCCUUUUAGAACCCAUUUAACAAAAAUCCUUGCUCAAUUUUAUUCUUUAAAGAAGGUUUAAUACAGGUAGGACGAACAUAACCCAACAUGACUUAUUUUUUGAUGCCUGAAUUUUUAUUUUUCGAUUUCCUCUUGGAAUGGGGUUUUGUUUUCAUUACCUCUACUCUUUGGAUAAAUCUACAUUUUUUAUUUGUAAUUUUUGUGAAUGCUGCAUUAGUUCCUAUAUAUUUUUAAAAAAUAUAUUGUGUAGGUUCUUACACUGGAAAUUUUUGUUUCUUAAAAUUUUAGAAAACUAUAUUUUGUACUGUCUGAAUCUACUAGAUUUCAAGCAAGUCACCUAGGUCAAGACAAAGAUUUUGGUUUUGUAAAGCCUCAUUUAGAUAUUUUCUUCUAGCUUUGGGUUAAUUUAGGAAAGCUUUUAGGAUUUCAUGAUUUGGUAUAUUUAAUAUAUGUGCAAUGUUUUCCACUAUUUCAGUUAUAUUUUUUAUCACCCACGGCAGAUUGGCUAUUCUGAAAUUACGUUUUCUUGGAUUGCUUCAUGUUUUUAGUUUUACCAUUUUCUUUUGGUGAAAUUUGAGAUUUUGUGUUAAUUGAUGGGAGGAAUGUGUGCUUUCAAAUACAACUCACUCAAUUUCUUAGCAGCCUUUAGUAGAUUCUCAUCUCCAAUCUAAGCCUACAUUAUUGUGUAUCUAAUGAAAAAAUGAAAUGGUUAUACAUUUUUCUUCGUCCUACAAUGCUUUUCUAUAACAUGGAAGUCAUAUUCUUGUGUGAAAAUAAUUGUUUUAAUCAUAUUGUAGAGAUUACUGUUUCAAUUUCUGCUAUAUAGCAAGUUAUUUAAGAAUCUGAGUACCAUGCUUGGAAUUCAGUGAAAUAUUUUGCGUCUGCUGUCGUUUUUAAUGAGAGGAUGAUAAUUCCAGUAUCUAGAAAUCGACAGAGGAGCCUAAUCUUUUCUAUUUUUAAUUUUUUGAUGUUUUGGUAUCUUGUGAUUAACUAAGUUCCCUAAAUUUUCAUCUUUACUUCGUUGCCUGCUUGUGUUUUUCAUAUGAUAGUUUAUGUGAGGAUUUUAAUUGACAGCAAUCUAGAUACAGAUUCAUUUAUAUUUGUAUUACUCUUUUAAUCAUUUGUUUAGCCUUGAAUAUGUCAUUUGAUAUUUACCUUCAAGUUCCAUAUAUUUUUCUAUUUAUACAGGUGAAAGAAAGGACUUGUUCAUCGAGGGAGGCCUUUUCUUCGUUUGUUUGUGUAAGUAGAAUGGUGCUCAGUGUACAUCUGUUGAUUUGGUUAUUAUUUAGUGAAUCUUUACUCUUUAACGAGAUAUUGAAUUGAAUAUUGGUGAGUUGAUAUUUAUGCUAUGAUUUUUCUACUUUUCUUGUUCGCUCUUAUGGGAUUUUUAAAAUGGCAUAAUCUUCGAUUGUGAGAUAAAGCACACAUUGUUGAUGGGGUUGGGUGUAAGAAAAGACUAUUUUUUGAAUAAUUUUGACCGUUUUUUGGAAAGGAAACUGUGAAAAAGAAGGGAAUUCACUUAAAAUGCCAAGUAUAUAAUGUUGAAGAUAGAAGUGCAAAAGAAGUCAGAACAUUGAACUGUAGAUGCAAUUUAUCGUUAGAAAUAUAGUGAAAAUAAAGGGAUUAUCUGAUUUUGUAAGUUAGGCAAUUUAGAUUUCAUACUUUGGAAUCGAGAUGGUUUCCUUUGUCUUUUCCAUUAUCAUAGUUUAAUUGCUUUUUAUUUUUUUAUUGAAGCCUUUUUUAUUCUAUAUCGGGAACUGAUAAAUUAUGUCUAUGCAUAAAACUGCCAAAACUGUAUUGACUGCAUAUUCUUUUCCUUCUAAGAAUCCAAGUGUGAACUAGCUAUUUUGUACUGAACUUCCGCUACUUCCAUAAUCACAGUAGGAAAAACAUUGCAAAAAUUUUACAAGAUAUGUGAUUGAUGUAGAUUUCAUGAUGGUGUUGACUGCAUUGAUAGUAUAUUGGAAAGAACAAUGAUGUCUCUGCUACAAUUGAAGCCAACGUUUUUAUCAUAAUUAUUCUUGCUAAUAUUUUUUUACACACAUUAAUGGGAGCUUUCCACCUGCCUAUCCUCAAUGUUUUCAACUUAAUUGUCGGAGAUGGCUACUCUUAAGAAGUUGGAAUUCAUGAGAGAACUCAGAAAGGUACUCUACAUAUUCUAUUUUUCUUUUUGUUGUUAUACAUGUUCUCGAUGAAGAGUAAUUUGGUGAAAGUUACCAAACAAAAAUUUUGAUUUACGUUCUCCAACUUUUCUUGGUAAGUUCCCACAAUUGGUGUUGUUGGAAGUUUUGCCCUUGUUAAGAUACUUGAGCAAAUUGGAAAAUAAGGUCAACUCCUACUUGAUUUUGAUUUCAAAUGCUCGAUUAAUUUAUUUAAUGAAUCUAAAUCUUGUAAUGAUGAGUUUUAUGAUACAUAUAAUUUGUUUUCUUAAUAAUUCGACCUGACAUCAAGAAAUGUCCCAAAUGAACUUAGUUGGACUCCUUCGAAACAAUGCAAUAAUCUAUAUGAACAGUUAUAUUAGGUCACAAGUUUUAUUCACAUUCAGUAAUGUUUCUUAAGAUCAGUUGGAGAUCGCAUGAAUAUACACUCAUUUUAAAAUGAUGGUGAAAAAAAUUCUAUUAUGAAGCAUAUGUUCAUGCAUCAUCUUAUUUUACUGAUAAACCUCCUAUACGGUUCACUUACAAGAGGCGUCACAAGAAUUUGGUGUAAAGGGAAUAUUAGUUGUUAGAUUGGCUGAAAAUAAAUCAGUUAUGCUGACGUCACAUUUACUUAUAAAUACCAGUAGUAGAGUCUAGAAGAUCAUUCAGAAAACAGGAAAUUCUGAGUCAUUAGGAGAGGGGCAACUCUCGAAACUUGCCAAUUUACUCUUUUCUUUCAUACUGUUCAUUUCAUUCCGUAUCAAUUAAAUUCUUCUUCAAUUCCAUUAUUUUACUUACAAUUCAGCUUUCUAUUAACUCGAAUUGCAAUUGUGUGCUGCUAAUUCAUUGGGCUUGAGCAGAUCUUACCAUUUGGUAUCAGAGCCGGUCAAAUUUCUGGGAAACGGAUGCCAGUCACGAGAAUGGACGUCAGAAUUGAAGCAUUGGAGAAAUCCGUACCUUCCUUGAGUGCGAGCAUGGUCGAAUUGAAAGGAGAUGUGGAACAUUUGAAUAAUCAAGUGGGACUGGAACUCGGGAAGAUGAACCAGAGGCUCGAAGCGAGCCUCGCGCUGGGUAGACGGGAGUUGAACGACGGGUUAUGGCUAAUAGAGAAGAUGUUGAAGGGCUCGAAAUUAAGUUCCUCCAGCAGUCCAGGAGAAGAGAGUGGGAGGAUGUCGACCACUUCUGUCGAGGAGCAGCCGGAAGUGGAAAACGUGAAUUCCGAGAAGAUGGCGGUUGCCUCUGUUGAAGGUAACUAUCGAAAACUUGAAUUGCCACUGUUCAAUGGAGUCGAUCCUGACUCCUGGAUAUUUAGAGCUGAGAGGUACUUCCGAAUGAACAAGUUCGAUGAUGUUGAGCGAGCUGUGGCUGCGGGUGUAUGUAUGGAAGGAGCAGCGCUAUCCUGGUUUCAAUGGGAGGAUGGACGGCGACCCAUGCACAACUGGACUGAACUUAAACGGCGACUACUGGAGAGGUUUCGAGAUACCCAGUAUGGAACCUUACACCAAAGGUUCCUGGCUAUCAAGCAAACAGGAACGGUAGCUGAGUUCAGGGAGCGAUUUGAAGUCAUGGCAGCACCCCUGAAAAAUGUCAGUGACGAUGUACUGGAAGGAGUUUUCAUUAAUGGGUUGGACGAAGAAGUGCAGGCUGAAGUACUGAUGGCGAAUCUGGUGGGACUAUCCCAGAUUAUGGACUUGGCCCAGCGGGUUGAAGAUAGGAACAACCGAAUCAACAAGGGAAGGGAGAAGGAGCGACCGCGAUUUAGGAAUGUGAUGAAUCCUAACCCGGUUCGAGGGGAACAGAGAACUCUUCCCUGGAAUGUGACGAGGGGAGUUAAUUCACCUGAUAAGGUGGGCACGAAUCUGCCGAACACCACUUUUGGGUUUAAAAAGCUGACCCAGGCUGAAAUCCAAGCUAAGAAGGAGAAGGGAUUAUGCUUCCGAUGUGACGGGAAGUACACCGUUGGACACCAGUGCCGUAACAAGGAAUUACAUGUGCUGUUGGUAGAUGACGACCUGGAAAAUUAUGAGUUGGAAGGAGAAAUACCGGAAGGGACAGCUGACUGUAACGAACUGGAAGGUGUGGAGUUGUCAAUGAACUCNGUGGUGAAUCGUUGUUUGGAGACUUAUCUCAGGUGUUUUGCGAACAGCCAUCCUCGCUCGUGGUCUGACUGGAUUCCAUGGGCUGAAUUCUGGUAUAACUCAUCCUUCCACACUUCCACUAAGGCCACCCCUUUUAAAGUUGUUUAUGGGAGGGAUCCUCCACCGGUCAUACGUUAUGGGACGCAGCACACACCGGUGGCAGACCUAGAUCAACAGCUCCAGCUGCGAGAUGAAAUGAUUAGUGCCUUGAAGUUACAAUUGGAAAAGGCCCAAAACCGGAUGAAAGAAGUAGCAGACACCAGAAGAAGGGAGGUUCAGUUUCAGGUGGGAGAUCGAGUUUACCUUAAACUCCAGCCAUACCGACAGAGGUCCUUGGCCAAGCGUGCUAAUGAGAAGCUAUCACCGCGAUUUUUUGGGCCCUAUGUCAUUGUUCAGAAAAUAGGUGCAGUGGCUUAUAAGCUCCAGCUUCCAGAAGGCACAAACAUCCACCCAGUGUUCCAUGUUUCUCAACUACGGAAGGCAGUGGGAUCUACCACUUCCAUCCAGCCACUCCCCACUCUUCUCAGCCCUGAUUUAGAGUGGAAAGUGAAACCUGCUGGUGUGUUGGGCAUCAGGCCAGCAAGUGAUCUUGACAAUACCGGGCCAGAGGUACUGAUUCAGUGGGAGGAUCUUCCCCCUUUCGAGGCAUCAUGGGAGCCAUUUGAGCUGAUCAAUUCUCAGUUUCCUGAAUUCCACCUUGGGGACAAGGUGCUUUCGAUGGCGGGGGAUAUUGAUAAACCUCCUAUACGGUUCACUUACAAGAGGCGUCACAAGAAUUUGGUGUAAAGGGAAUAUUAGUUGUUAGAUUGGCUGAAAAUAAAUCAGUUAUACUGAUGUCACAUUUAUUUAUAAAUACCAGUAGUAGAGUCUAGAAGAUCAUUCAGAAAACAGGAAAUUCUGAGUCAUUAGGAGAGGGGCAACUCUCGAAACUUGCCAAUUUACUCUUUUCUUUCAUACUGUUCAUUUCAUUCCGUAUCAAUUAAAUUCUUCUUCAAUUCCAUUAUUUUACUUACAAUUCAGCUUUCUAUUAACUCGAAUUGCAAUUGUGUGCUGCUAAUUCAUUGGGCUUGAGCAGAUCUUACCAUUUACAUGGGAUACUGUAUGGAUCUUUACCAUGCUGUUUCUUUGGAAAGUUCCUACUCACAAAUUAAUGAAAAAUGAUAUUAAUUUUUCACAGAGAAUGUCUAGAAAAGGUGCUUAUUUUCCUUCUUUGAGUAUGUCUAUGGAACUACAACGAAUUUUAUCUGAGCAAUAGAGAUGCUGAUGGGAGUGGAUUCGGUCUACAUGAUUAUUAAAGGGAUAUGAAAAAAUAAAUUAGGAAAAGCUAAAAAAAUUACAGCUUUGUAUAUAAAAAUUGGAGUUUUGUGAGAAUUUUGAGUUCUUUAUUCUAUGCAGAUAACAUGUUUGAAGAAAUUCAGUGAAGAAUGAAAUCUGAAAAGGGUCAAGAAGAGGAUAAGAAAAGGAUGAGGAGUUUUGUCCUAGAAAAUAUGCAACAUUACCUACUAAUAAUGCCAAAGGUACCUAUUUUUAUAAGUACUAAUUUUUUCAUUCACGUUCAAAGUAAUUGAAUUGCUUAUGCAAAUAGAUAUGAUGAUUGGUUGGAUAAUGGUUUUAGCGUUUUAGAGCUGAGAAAAUAUGGAAAUUUUUGUUCAAUUUUUAAUUUUGUACCAUAAUCUUCUCCCUGUUCAUUUCAAAACAAAUUUAUUCCCCCUCCCCUAAGUUGGUCUUAUAAACAUGAGUUAUUAAAUUGAUUAUUCGAAUGUCUUAUCAAGAUUUUCGUCUGUAUUGAUUAUUUACUGCAGUAGGUGCUAAGAUCAUGAUCCAACUCAAAGAGGAAGAAUUCACACUGGAUAUAACAAAAAAAGUUGGAACUGUUACUUAUUCUUCAAUUUUCGAUAGCAGUUGCAAAACUCUCACCCUGAGAUCUUCCGUUGAUUCUGUGUAUGAGGUUAAGUAAUUUUUGUAAACCUGUGGUUGAUAUCUAGACCAUGGGAGCUUAAAGUAAAAUAUCAAAUAAAUGCUUGAGUUUGAGUUGGUUCCUUUGCAGCCGAAUGUAUGUUUAGCUGACUUGAUUCUAUCAUCUUUCUUUUCAGCUAAUGGAUAGAAAAUAUUUGACUUCAAGAGCCAACUUCCAUGUUUGGGAGUUGCUUAUAAAUGGUUUAAAUAAUAAAUAGAUAGAAACGAGCGAUGGAUAAGUGGGUACC
rnacentral:lncRNA from 1 species